ensembl:lncRNA
UUUUUCCUUGCAGGAGAUGCUUGGUGUUAGUUGGUAGUAGUGUGUCUGAUGGGGCAUCAUGUUGUUGCCGUGUGCGUUGGUCAGCAGGUGGCAGGUGAUACCAAGUCAAAGAGCCCACUGUGCUGACCUGGUCAUACUGUUUUGUCUUUGUCCAACGGGAAUGCUGUUACUCUCUGUAGAGAUCACUAGAAAUGGGGCAGGAUGUUUCACAUUGCCAUUCCAAAGAACUAGCACCCGUGACUUUUCCAGGUAUUGAGAUUAGAUUUACCGGUGUUGCCGGAAAUCCAUGAAGCUAGUGAUCUCUGCAAAUAAUAUGGUUGCUUGCCUUUCCUGGGGUAACAGCUCUCCCAGAUCUUCAAGUAUAUCUGAGCUUCCAGGAUUUGGCCAGAAUCACCCUGCAGGAAGUCAAAAGACUUCACAGGGUGCUCUAAGGACAUGAGGCUAUGCAUGAUUCAUGCCAGCUAAAUUACUAUUACACCUGAAGACAUUCAGCUAGUGUGUUGCAUCUCUGGGGACACAAUUCUUUUCAGCAGCAGCACUUACAUAGGCAUUGUUGCCUCUGCAGAGGUACCUAAGCAGAAAACUCCCCCUGGGAGGAUGCAGUACUAUGGAAUAGAAAACUUGUCUCAAGGACACCCCCACAGCUAAACAGAUAUAAAGGCAAAUGUGGUGCAAUAAUGUUAAUUAUAAACUGAGCAAGUAUAGUGUGUCUAAGACUUCAGGUUGCAAUGUGUCAUGUGUACAUUGCAUCUCUUCUACAGGUUUGCUCUGGAACAGCUAUAUUAAUUACCGGUGGGUAGUUUCUGUUACAGGUUUAGUGUAAACUAAUUCCCUUGGGCUGAUCAUGUCAACUCUGAUGACAGACAUGGAUUUACCAUUGCUUUGACAACUAUCUCUGGCCCUUAGAAACAAGUUAUUUUGAAGUUUGGUAGCUUUGACUUCUGUUCUUUUGGUUACUUCUUCCUCUUUGUGGUACAGCCACUACAUUGAAAACAAUGUGGGUUUUUAAAUCAAAGUGAAAAACAUACACAUUCUUUAACACAAGGUGAAAAGGUUGGCGACAAGCUUUUCCAAAGAGCUAAAAUUUGCAUUUGCUGUUUCCUUGCUGAACAAAGCUUGUCUCUAUAACAGUUUUUCAUCAGUCUACCUAUAUGCUGUAGUACAACCAUUUCAAGGGCAAAGAGCUGUACAUGGCUUUUAACCCUUUUGUGCUGCAAGUAUAGGGGGCUGUUUAGUCUGAUAACCUUUUUUUUUUUUAAUUAUUAUUUUUUUUAAUUUGUCUAGUUUCCAGCAGCAGCAGCUGGUAGAUUUCUCUGGGGUUUUCUUCAGUGCAUCUGGGUUGGGUCAAGUCACUAUAAAAAAUUUAACAAACAUUCCUCUACAGGCCUGGCUUGAGCUUUUCAAAAUAAAGAAAUCUCACCUGUCUCCAGUCUAGCAAAUGUUUUGUUUCCAGUCUGUAAACAUAGAAGAAUAUAAAACAUUGCAUUUAAUGAAUGAGAUACCAAAUGUAACUUUGUUCCUAGCAUUUAUAGUAGCAGACCAUGCUUUGACAACACAUAGUUUUGUUUUGUUUCACUCUGUGGUCACAACAAAGUUGUUUUGUUGUGAUAGAAUAUAUAUUUCUUCAUUCUGGACACUAAAUGAGUGAGAUUUCAGGCUGCAUCUGAGCUGACACUGGAAUGAAGCAAACCAGGCUGACGUCUGUACAUCAGCUGCAGUGUGAUGCUAAUUCUGGGGAGGAUUAUUUAAAAACAAACACCUUACAACUAUUAAGAAUAUAGGAACUGC